rnacentral:rRNA from 1 species
AAUAGAUACCCCGGUAGUCCACGCCCUAAACGAUGUCGACUAGGUGUUGGGGAAGGAGACUUCCUUAGUACCGCAGCUAACGCGUGAAGUCGACCGCCUGGGGAGUACGGUCGCAAGAUUAAAACUCAAAGGAAUUGACGGGGACCCGCACAAGCGGUGGAUGAUGUGGAUUAAUUCGAUGCAACGCGAAAAACCUUACCUACCCUUGACAUGUACGGAAGUCCGCUGAGAGGUGGAUGUGCCCGAAAGGGAGCCGUAACACAGGUGCUGCAUGGCUGUCGUCAGCUCGUGUCGCGAGAUGUUGGGUUAAGUCCCGCAACGAGCGCAACCCUUGCCAUUAGUUGCCACAUUCAGUUGGGCACUCUAAUGGGACUGCCGGUGACAAACCGGAGGAAGGUGGGGAUGACGUCAAGUCCUCAUGGCCCUUAUGGGUAGGGCCUCACACGUCAUACAAUGGCGCGUACAGAGGGUUGCCAACCCGCGAGGGGGAGCCAAUCCCAGAAAGCGCGUCGUAGUCCGGAUUGGAGUCUGCAACUCGACUCC